AUACGAAGGGUGCAAGCGUUACUCGGAAUUACUGGGCGUAAAGCGUGCGUAGGCGGUUUGUUAAGUCUGUCGUGAAAGCCCCGGGCUCAACCUGGGAAUGGCGAUGGAUACUGGCAAGCUAGAGUGUGUCAGAGGAUGGUGGAAUUCCCGGUGUAGCGGUGAAAUGCGUAGAUAUUGGAAGGAACACCAGUGGCGAAGGCGACUAUCUGGAUAGAUACUGACACUGAGACACGAAAGCGUGGGGAGC
rnacentral:rRNA from 1 species